rfam:Chlorocebus sabaeus isolate 1994-021 chromosome 23, whole genome shotgun sequence.
GUCUAUGACCAUACCACCUUGAACGUGCCCGGUCUCGUCUGAUCUCGGAAGCUAAGUAGGGUCGGGCCUGGUUAGUACCUGAUGGGAACACAAGGAGGAAUGAGAA